rnacentral:RNase_P_RNA from 1 species
GAAGCGAGCCUGGCCGCCGCUGGCAUCGCCUUCGGGCGGAGCUGGAGGAAGGUCCGGACUGCACAGGGCGGCGUAGCAGUCAACGGCUGUCCACCGUGAGGUGAGGAUCAGAGCAACAGAGACGAGUCGGCGGCGGCCGCAAGGCAGGCGCCGGGUGAAACGGGCAAUCUCUACGCGCAGCAAUACCAAAUAGGCCGGCGUGGCCGCGCGAGUCUCGACUCGCCCGGCUGGAAGUGUGGCUCCGCACGAGCCGGCGGGUAGGUAGCACCGAGCCGGGAAGGUAUGCCCGGCCCAGAGGAUUGGCGGUCACGGACGGGCGGCGAAAGGGGCCCGUCCGCACAGAAUCCGGCCUAUCGGCUCGCUUCACAC